rnacentral:rRNA from 1 species
AAAUUGAAGAGUUUGAUCAUGGCUCAGAUUGAACGCUGGCGGCAGGCCUAACACAUGCAAGUCGAGCGGUAGCACAGAGAGCUUGCUCUCGGGUGACGAGCGGCGGACGGGUGAGUAAUGUCUGGGAAACUGCCUGAUGGAGGGGGAUAACUACUGGAAACGGUAGCUAAUACCGCAUAACGUCGCAAGACCAAAGUGGGGGACCUUCGGGCCUCAUGCCAUCAGAUGUGCCCAGAUGGGAUUAGCUAGUAGGUGGGGUAACGGCUCACCUAGGCGACGAUCCCUAGCUGGUCUGAGAGGAUGACCAGCCACACUGGAACUGAGACACGGUCCAGACUCCUACGGGAGGCAGCAGUGGGGAAUAUUGCACAAUGGGCGCAAGCCUGAUGCAGCCAUGCCGCGUGUGUGAAGAAGGCCUUCGGGUUGUAAAGCACUUUCAGCGGGGAGGAAGGCGNAAGGUUAAUNNNNNNNCGAUUGACGUUACCCGCAGAAGAAGCACCGGCUAACUCCGUGCCAGCAGCCGCGGUAAUACGGAGGGUGCAAGCGUUAAUCGGAAUUACUGGGCGUAAAGCGCACGCAGGCGGUCUGUCAAGUCGGAUGUGAAAUCCCCGGGCUCAACCUGGGAACUGCAUUCGAAACUGGCAGGCUAGAGUCUUGUAGAGGGGGGUAGAAUUCCAGGUGUAGCGGUGAAAUGCGUAGAGAUCUGGAGGAAUACCGGUGGCGAAGGCGGCCCCCUGGACAAAGACUGACGCUCAGGUGCGAAAGCGUGGGGAGCAAACAGGAUUAGAUACCCUGGUAGUCCACGCCGUAAACGAUGUCGAUUUGGAGGUUGUGCCCUUGAGGCGUGGCUUCCGGAGCUAACGCGUUAAAUCGACCGCCUGGGGAGUACGGCCGCAAGGUUAAAACUCAAAUGAAUUGACGGGGGCCCGCACAAGCGGUGGAGCAUGUGGUUUAAUUCGAUGCAACGCGAAGAACCUUACCUGGUCUUGACAUCCACAGAACUUUCCAGAGAUGGAUUGGUGCCUUCGGGAACUGUGAGACAGGUGCUGCAUGGCUGUCGUCAGCUCGUGUUGUGAAAUGUUGGGUUAAGUCCCGCAACGAGCGCAACCCUUAUCCUUUGUUGCCAGCGGUNCGGCCGGGAACUCAAAGGAGACUGCCAGUGAUAAACUGGAGGAAGGUGGGGAUGACGUCAAGUCAUCAUGGCCCUUACGACCAGGGCUACACACGUGCUACAAUGGCAUAUACAAAGAGAAGCGACCUCGCGAGAGCAAGCGGACCUCAUAAAGUAUGUCGUAGUCCGGAUUGGAGUCUGCAACUCGACUCCAUGAAGUCGGAAUCGCUAGUAAUCGUAGAUCAGAAUGCUACGGUGAAUACGUUCCCGGGCCUUGUACACACCGCCCGUCACACCAUGGGAGUGGGUUGCAAAAGAAGUAGGUAGCUUAACCUUCGGGAGGGCGCUUACCACUUUGUGAUUCAUGACUGGGGUGAAGUCGUAACAAGGUAACCGUAGGGGAACCUGCGGUUGGAUCACCUCCUUA